GGCGAGCCACGGCUUCAAAACCGCAGCAAGGCGCCGACGAGGCGGGUGGGUU
rnacentral:tRNA from 1 species